rnacentral:rRNA from 1 species
UGGGGAAUUUUGGACAAUGGGGGCAACCCUGAUCCAGCCAUCCCGCGUGUGCGAUGAAGGCCUUCGGGUUGUAAAGCACUUUUGGCAGGAAAGAAACGUCAUGGGUUAAUACCCCGUGAAACUGACGGUACCUGCAGAAUAAGCACCGGCCAACUACGUGCCAGCAGCCGCGGUAAUCCGCAGGGUGCAAGCGUUAAUCGGAAUUACUGGGCGUAAAGCGUGCGCAGGCGGUUCGGGAAGAAAGAUGUGAAAUCCCAGAGCUCAAGCUUGGAACUGCAUUUUUAACAGCCGAGCGAGAUUGCGUCAGUUGGAGGGGGAAUUCCGCGUGUAUCAGUGAAAUGCAUAGAUAUGCGGAGGAUCAACGGUGGCGAAGGCAGCCUCCUGGGAUAACACUGACGCUCAUUCACGAAAGCGUGGGGAGCAAACAGG